AUACGUUCAGGCUAUGGCAUUAGCCUUGGCACAGGCCUAGACCGCCCCUUUUGCAGAAGAGGUGCUGAUAAUGCCUACCAGAAA
rnacentral:ncRNA from 2 species